GCGAGCAGAGGGGUAACCGCGGUCACUUUUCGGUCACCUGACAAAAGUUGAACAAAAUGUGGUUUUGCAAUGUAGGCAUGAUCCUGAUUCAUGUUUCAUUGGAAUUUUUUUGAAAUUUGGCUGGGAUCAUGCAAAUUUUUAGUGCCCAGUCUCGGGCACCAAAUGGGCACCUUUCGGUUACCCGGAGCGGGCAGGGGGUCACUUGCGGUCACUUAACAAAAUUUAAAAUAAGGGUGGUUUUGCAUUUCAGGCAUGAUCCUGAAUGAUGUUUCAUCGGAUUUUUUUCGAAAUUUGGCUCGGAUAACCGAAAUUGCCCGUGCCCAGCCUUGGGCACCCAUCGGGCACCUUUCGGUUACCCGGAGCGGGCAGGGGGUCACUUGCGGUCACCUAACAAAAUUAAAACUAAGGGUUAUUUUGCAUUUCAGGCAUGAUCCUGAAUCAUGUUUCAUUAAAUUUUUGUCGAAAUUUGCCUUGGAUCACCGAAAUUGCCAGUGCCCAGUCUUGGGCACCCAUCGGGCACCUUUCGGAUACUCGGAGUGGGCAGGCGGUUAACUAUGGUCACUUGCGGUCACCUGAAAAAAAUUAAACUAAGGGCGGUUUUGCAUUUCAGGCAUGACCUUGAACCUGGCUUGGUUGGAAUUUUUUAUAUUUGGCUGGGAUCACCUAAAAUUGCCAGUGCCCAGUCGUGGGCAACCAUCGGGCAGCUUUCGGGUAACUCGGAUAGGAUAACUGCAUGCGGUGUGACCGGUUCAUUAACUGUUUUCGUAAAAUUUUGGGCACAGAAAAAAUAUUAUUAUGGUUAUUGUAGGAUUGAAAAAUAAAUUUUUAUGCAUUUAAAUAUGAUUGCUAAAAAGGGGCAACUUUUGGCUACCCAAUGGUUAACCGAUGCGCGAGCACCAUUUUACUUUACUCGUUUUACACUCAAAUUUGGUCAGAUUUUCGUCACCGCAGGUUUUAACUUAUUUUGGAAAAUAUUUUUUUUAAAAGUAGCUUAAGUACACAAAUAAAUAAAUAAAAUUUUUGAUAACCAAAUUGGGUUACCCAAUGGGCAACCAAUGGGCAACCUGAGAACCACCGUAAAUUCUUGAGUUCGUGUUUCGUAAAAAUUAUUUUUUAAAAAUUUAUUUGGUUAUAACACUUAUUAGCAUUUCAAACUCUUUAAAUUAUUAUCUCGUUUUGAGCAAUAAUUAUUAUUUUAGCUCAGCAUUAUCGCGCGCGCGUUUCUUUGUUACACUCGUCGGCCGCGCGUGUGGCGCCACUGUCGGCAGUAGCACCAGCUGCGGCUGCCUCUGGCUCAGUGACUGAAAACAAGCAUGAUGGUUGAGACGCGCUGGAUUGCAUCAUCAUUUUUAGCCGAGAAUUUCGCCGUGUUUUCGGUUGCUUUUCGACAAAUAGACAACAUCAACGGGUUUUUGGAUGGAUUGUCGAUGUUCCUGAUGUUCCGAAAGGCUAGCACCGCGUCCCGCCCUGAUUGAUUAUUUUGAUGUCCUCUGGUUGGGAACUUGGGAAUAGCUGCCUAAACGCGAUGGCCAUCCGGAUGACAAGCCUGGACAAGUUAACAAAACUCCGGCCGCAGUAUCCGCAGGGUUUGUCUGCUGUUUUGUUUGCAUUUUCGGCUGACGUGAAAUUGAUGGGACCAUAUGGACCCCAAAGAUGUAAAGCAACGGCCAUGUUUGACAGGAUAAGUGCUGGACGCUGGACGACAUGAGUAGGGAUAUUGAGUGCUUUUCUUUGUAUGUUUUAUGGCGUUUUUUGUGUGUUGAAAUCUUUAAAAUUAAUAUUAACAAGGCUCUAAUUUUCUGCUCAAAUACGUAAAUUCACUUAACAAAUGUUCGCAACAACUGAAUUUAAUUCCAAUAACUAUGUUUUGAUUUUGUGUUUGCGGCAUAUUUUUAUUUUAGGUUUGCAUUCUCUAGAUGAAUAUUUCUAGAUUUCCCUGACAACUAAUUGUAGACACAACUAAUUUUUAAAUUAAUUUCUCUGAUAGUGAUCUCAUAAGUUUAUAAAUAUCAAUUGCAAAAGCCUUAAAUGUUUCAAUUCAAUAACAAUAGAUGGUGCCACUGGUAUACUUCUGAUUUUAAUUCCCUCUCAUUGUGUUUUUUUUAUUAAAGUUAAUACUGCUGCUGUGCCUUCUGGACUUAUACUAUUAAUUUUAAUGUGCUCAAAACCAAAAUCAGUUACGCCGCAAUCACCCUAGAAACAUCAGCACAUUGAAAAAAAUGUAAUUACACUUCGACGAUGAUUGGCUUAUAUGUUUUGGUUUCCAGCACAUCAGAUAUAAUUAUUUAAAGGGUUGAAUGUUGAAUGCACAGCAGCAGGACCGUGUCCUCUAUCUCAGUGAAAUCUUAUUAAAAUCAAAAGAAUACCAAUUAAUGGCAGCCAAGGGGGAAUUCCCAACUGCAGGUUAACUCGUACAAUUAUUAUAAUCAUCCAAUAUUAUUUGUUCUGUUACUGCAUCACCUCAAAAAUCAAUGUUUUUAUGGUUUUAAACGUUUUAACAAUUAAGUCUCAUUAAUUUGUAAGUGUGCAGUUCUCCGCAGUCUAUUGUACGCGAUUUUUUGGUGUUGAAAAAUUGUUGUUAACACUUAAUAAUUUAUUUUUUAAUUGUAACUGCUUAUUCUCUGUUAUUGAAAGGUGGAAUGUAACUUAACUGCAUUAGGUAUAACCUUCGAAUUUUCACUGCCAAACCUAGUUUUCAAUUGUGAACGACUUUUAAUUCGCAGGUCAAAGGUCAUGGUCACCUUUCUUUUUUGAAAAUUCAAUAUUAGGGGAUGAUAGCCCUCUCAGAUUUUUUGGGGUUAGCCCGUGAAAAUCUGCACAAGCACACCCAAGUUUUUGAAGUACCAAAAAUGUUUGCUGUAAUUUGAAAAUGAAAGUUGAAAUACGGCUUGAUGCCGCUCGAUCGAGCAUGCCCGUUAGUCGGCGAGUUUGUCUAUCAUUUGUCAAUAAUAUUUUAAUCCGUUCCAUUUGCUUAGGCACAACAAGAGGACCAAGGAUUGACAUAGUAAGGUCAAAAUUGACCUUCAGGGUCUGAACCUGAUGAGACCCUGAGACCUGAGAUAAUAAUUUCGAAAAUGUCCAAUUUCAUCAAUCAUGGUGUCUUUUUAUAGGUUUUGGCCUCUGUACAGCUAAAAAAUACAGCCUAAACCGCCGAAUGACAAUCCUGAAACCAAUUCUUGAAAUAAUUGUGGUAGCCAUUAAUCCCGACGUGAUGUUAAAAAGUUUUAAAAUUUGAAAUCGGCAGUUUUGACUUUAUAUUUGAGCUGCAGAGCGGUGAUAGCUUAUGGAAAGACACUUAAGUUUGAUGAAAUUGAUUUUUUAAUCUCAGGAUCUCGUCAGGUACAGACCCUGAAGGUUGAUUUUGACCUUGAUAUGUCUACACUGGGCCCUCUUGUUGUGUCUAAUCAAAUGGAAUGGGUAGAAAUAUUAUCAACGAAUGAUGGGCGAACUCGCCGACUAAAGGCCGUGCUCGAUCGAGCGGCAUCGAGCCGGAUUUUAAUUUUCAAAUUCAAAUUACAGCAAAACUACUGUUGCACCUUUGAAACUUGGUGAGCUUGUGUAGAAUUUCAAGGGCUACAUUUCAGCCCUGAACCCCAAAAAGAUCUAAGGGUUGUAUCAUCCCUUGAUUUUGAAUUUUUGAGUAAAGGUUGCAAAAGGUGACCUUGACCUUUUCCCUGCGAAUUUUUUGUAGGUUGAUAAGUUGUUCAUGGUGGAAAACUAGGAUAGAAAAUGAAAAUUUCAAGGUGAUAUCUUAACCCAGUAAAGAGUUACAGUCCACCCUUCAUUCACAUAAUUUGAUUUACAGGGAUUUUUAAAAAUAGGGAUCUUCAAAUUUGAUGUAUAACAUGUAUUAUUUAAUUGUAAUUUAUUUGUUGUAUGAAUAUCAUCCAAUAAAAGUGCUGCCCAUCUAGCUGCCCACUGAAGGUAACCGCAGGCGGGCACCCAAUGGUUACCUUUUGGCUACCUCUUACCUAGGGCUGUCAUUUUGCGCUACAAAUUUCACUUUUUUAAUGAACAGAGUCAAUCGACCUGCCACCUGAAAGCCCUAGAUAAAAGGUAGCCAAAAGGUAACCAAUGGCUGCCCACUGGUGGUAACCUCAGCCGGGCACCCGAUGGUUAGCUUUUGGUCAA